rnacentral:lncRNA from 1 species
AACAUGAACAACCCCUCUUACUCAUGUUACUUCUUCAUGUUAGCCAACCACUUACACUAAAAAUGGUGUUGUAUGUUAUAGAAGGAAAAGAAGAGAUAAUUCAUAGUUUCUUUUCCAUUAGUUUUCCAUAGCUCCAUUAUUCAUUAGUAAGCUGAAGGUGGAGAAUAUUGGUAAAAUGUGCAUAUAUUAAGAAGUGAAAUAAUAAAUGAUAAAUUUUUUUAAAAAGUGAAAUAAGUUUGAGACCAGUCUGGGCAACACAGUGAGAGCCCACCUCUUAAAAAAAAAAAAAAAAAAAUUAGCCGGCCAGGCACAGUGGCUCACGCCUGUAAUCCUAGCACUUUCAGAGGCCAAGGCAAGUGGAUUACUUGAGGUCAGGGGUUCGAGACCAGCCAGGCCAACAUGGUGAAACCCCAUCUCUACUAAAAAUACAAAAAAAUUAGCCAGGCAUGGUGCCGGGUGCCCGUAAUCCCAGCUACUUGGGAGGCUGAGGUAGGAGAACUGCUUGAAUCCAGGAGGUGGAGGUUGCAGUGAGCCGAGAUUGCGCCACUGCACUCCAGCCUGGGCAACAG